CAGUGCAGAACAGUCAGUACAGUACAGUACAGAACAGUGCAGUACAGAACAGUACAGAACAGUGCAGAACAGUACAGAACAGUACAGUACAGAACAGUCAGUACAGUACA
rnacentral:miRNA from 10 species